CCUACGGGUGGCAGCAGUAGGGAAUAUUGCUCAAUGGGGGAAACCCUGAAGCAGCAACGCCGCGUGGAGGAUGAAGGUUUUCGGAUUGUAAACUCCUUUUGUCGGGGAGCAAAGCGAGUCACGUGUGACUCAUUGAGAGUACCCGAAGAAAAAGCAUCGGCUAACUCCGUGCCAGCAGCCGCGGUACUACGGAGGAUGCGAGCGUUAUCCGGAUUUAUUGGGUUUAAAGGGUGCGCAGGCGGAGGUGCAAGUCAGCGGUCAAAUUGCGGGGCUCAACCCCGUACUGCCGUUGAAACUGCAUCCCUUGAGUGCGCGAGAAGUAUGCGGAAUGCGUGGUGUAGCGGUGAAAUGCAUAGAGAUCACGCAGAACUCCGAUUGCGAAGGCAGCAUACCGGCGCGCAACUGACGCUCAUGCACGAAAGCGUGGGUAUCGAACAGGAUUAGAUACCCCUGUAGUC
rnacentral:rRNA from 1 species